CCCUGCUAGUCGAGCGGAAACGGCAGUAUUGAAGCUUCGGUGGAUUUACUGGACGUCGAGCGGCGGACGGGUGAGUAACGGCUGGGAACCUGCCCUGACGAGGGGGAUAACCGUUGGAAACGACGGCUAAUACCGCAUAAUGUCUACGGACCAAAGGUGGCCUCUACAUGUAAGCUAUCGCGUUGGGAUGGGCCCAGUUAGGAUUAGCUAGUUGGUAAGGUAACGGCUUACCAAGGCGACGAUCCUUAGCUGGUUUGAGAGGAUGAUCAGCCACACUGGGACUGAGACACGGCCCAGACUCCUACGGGAGGCAGCAGUGGGGAAUAUUGCACAAUGGGGGAGACCCUGAUGCAGCCAUGCCGCGUGUGUGAAGAAGGCCUUCGGGUUGUAAAGCACUUUCAGCAGUGAGGAAGGUAGUGUACUUAAUACGUGCAUUGCUUGACGUUAGCUGCAGAAGAAGCACCGGCUAACUCCGUGCCAGCAGCCGCGGUAAUACGGAGGGUGCGAGCGUUAAUCGGAAUUACUGGGCGUAAAGCGCAUGCAGGCGGUUUGUUAAGUCAGAUGUGAAAGCCCGGGGCUCAACCUCGGAACCGCAUUUGAAACUGGCAGGCUAGAGUCUUGUAGAGGGGGGUAGAAUUUCAGGUGUAGCGGUGAAAUGCGUAGAGAUCUGAAGGAAUACCAGUGGCGAAGGCGGCCCCCUGGACAAAGACUGACGCUCAGAUGCGAAAGCGUGGGUAGCAAACAGGAUUAGAUACCCUGGUAGUCCACGCCGUAAACGAUGUCUACUUGGAGGCUGAGGU
rnacentral:rRNA from 1 species